rnacentral:rRNA from 1 species
UUUCAGUAGGGAGGAAGGUAGUGUAGUUAACACCUGCAUUAUUUGACGUUACCUACAGAAGAAGCACCGGCUAACUCCGUGCCAGCAGCCGCGGUAAUACGGAGGGUGCGAGCGUUAAUCGGAAUUACUGGGCGUAAAAGCGCAUGCAGGCGGCCUGUUAAGUCAGAUGUGAAAAGCCCGGGCUUAAACCUCGGAAAUUGCAUUUGAAAACUGGCAGGCUAGAGUCUUGUAGAGGGGGUAGAAUUUCAGGUGUAGCGGUGAAAAUGCGUAGAGAUCUGAAGGAAUACCAGUGGCGAAGGCGGCCCCUGGACAAAGACUGACGCUCAGAUGCGAAAGCGUGGGGAGCAAACAGGAUUAGAUACCCUGGUAG